AGUGAACGCUGGCGGCGUGCCUAAUACAUGCAAGUCGAACGGAGGGGCGCACGGGUGAGUAAUGUAUAGCUAAUCUGCCCUACACUAGAGGACAACAGUUGGAAACGACUGCUAAUACUCUCUAUUGUAGGAGGAGGGUAUACUGUAUAAGCUAGUUGGUGAGGUAUUGGCGCACCAAGGCUAUGACGCAUAACUGGUCUGAGAGGAUGAUCAGUAACAUGGGAACUGAGGCACGGUCCAGACUCCUACUGGAGGCAGCAGUAGGGAAUAUUGCUCAAGGGGGGAAGCCCUGAAGGAGCUACGCCGCGUAGAGGAUGACACGUUUCGGGGCGUAAACUCCUUUUGUUAGGGAAACGGUACCUAACGAAUAAGCACCGGCUAACUCCGUGCCAGCAGCCGCGGUAAUAC
rnacentral:rRNA from 1 species